GUUGGCUUAAAAGGCAACUCUGGCCAGUCCGUUUACAGUGCCAGUAAAGGAGGAUUAGUUGGAUUUUCACGUGCUCUUGCUAAAGAGGUAGCAAGAAAGAAAAUUAGAGUGAAUGUAGUUGCACCAGGAUUUGUACACACAGAUAUGACGAAAGACUUGAAAGAAGAACAUUUAAAGAAAAAUAUUCCUCUUGGGAGGUUUGGAGAAACUAUUGAGGUGGCACAUGCGGUUGUGUUUCUUUUAGAAUCACCGUAUAUUACAGGGCAUGUUCUGGUAGUGGAUGGGGGAUUACAACUCAUUUUGUAAUUUGCAGAUUAUUCAGUUAUAGGGGUGAUUAGCAUCAAGGGCACACUUUGGCUACUGAUUAGACAAUUAUACCUACAUGGGUAACAUGUGCUAAUCAAACCUGCUGAUGCUACAAAUGUUAAUUUCUGUCUUUAUAAAAAUAUGUCUCAAAAGAACAAUGUGUGACAAAUUGUGGUUUUUUUUUUUUUGGUCUAAGUUACAUCAGUGUUGUUUUGUUUAAAAAGCCUUCAUGAGAUACAAUUCACAUACCAUAUAAUCACACAUUUAAAAUACACAAUUCAGUGGUUUUAACAUAUUUAAAUACAUGUGCAAUCAUCCCCCCAGACAAAUUGUGUUUUCUAAAGGAUGUGUAUCACUUACCUUUGGUUACCUCAUAGACUGUAGCAAUCUUAGUGUAUAGACAUUUUGCAAGUCAUAUAAACAAGUAUUGAUUUAUAUAUUUUGUCUCAAAAGUGGAAAAAUUAUAUUGUCUAAUUAUGAUGAAUUAUUUUCUUGUAUCAAGCUGAAUUUUCUAAAAGUUAACCUUGUGGGCUGUUGCCAAAAUAAGAGUAUUUAGAGGACACUGAUUAGUUGUCAAUACUUUAGCAAGCCCACUAAAGAUAACUAUAUUCCUUUUGCAUGUGCUUGGGUGAUCAGUUUUUAUACAGGUUGCAAAACAUAGUAUUCAUUAAAGACAUGAAUUUAGAAUUGAUUUCUUUGAGUGGUAUUUCUCUUGAUUGAGCAGCUAGACAAAAUAAUCUGCAAAUUUAAAUGUGGCGCAUUUGACUCAUUCUUGAGAAAUUCUCAUAAGUGAAGAGGAUUAGCCCUUAAGGUUUUAAUACCUGGUACAGUAGUGAACCGCACAGAUUUCAUGAACUUAGGAUGUGUUUUUUAUUCAUGAAAAACUUAGAAUAGUGAACUAUUAAUAUUUAAAAACGAGAAAUACAACAUUUAAAAAAUUAAGAGUAUUUUGCAUUAGUGAUUAUGAUUCUUAUCCCAAAAUUCUAGAAAGUAAUAAAUUCUGUAUGAAUAAGCA
rnacentral:lncRNA from 10 species